rnacentral:rRNA from 1 species
ACAUGCCUACAACAUAUCAUUAAUGCAUCAGAUCCCAUUAGAACUCUGCAGUUAAGUGUUCUCAAGAUAGAGUAGUACUGGGAUGGGUGACCGCCCCGGGAAGUCCUAGUGUUUUACAUGCC